CGAGGGCACGCCUGCCUGGGUGUCA
rnacentral:rRNA from 1 species